UGCUGCGAUAGUGCAUUACGACUUUAGCCUCCUGGAACAACCACAGAUGACUUUGAUUAAAGAGGAUUGGAUUAGAAGUGUGUUCAGCUUCACAUUAUUGAAAUGUAUUCAGUAUGCCAGCUAAUCUGUUUAUAUGGAUGACUUUCUCACAGAAGCAUAAUGUUGAACAGCAGGAUUAGCAAGGGCUUACUCAAGUGACUUAUAGCACCCACUUAACCCAAAGUAACAAGAGAGGCAACCUCAUCCUCCAUCAGAACAGCAUUGAUCAGAAAGGGUGACAACUCUGGAAAAACAGCUUCUCCAAGAGGUUGAGCAGAUUACAGAACCUCUGAAGAUGCUCAUAAAUCACGGGCGAGUUCCUGUGGAAAGGA